UUUUUUUUAACAACAGAAGGCGCAGAAAGCGUCAAACUUUUCAUUCAGCUCAGUAACAACAUACAACAUGUAUUAUUACAAAGCCUUGGAUCUGAAAAUUGGAGAGCAAAGAAACUACAGGGCAAGAAGAUUUUCUAUGAGCUGAAAGCAACAUAUUUUAGGUUUGACAAUUGAGCAAAGAACUUGUUGAGCUACAUUGUGUGCAAUUCCAUUAAUCUCCCCUGAGAUGUUUCACACCUGAGGUUGGAGGUUGGAAGAGUACUUGAAGAAAUCACCCAAAGAUUUCCUGAUGCUCCACGGGGUGGUAGCCUCAAUCAUCUUUCCGGUUGCUGCAACCAAAGCUAAGGAAAGGCAGUCUAAAAGAAAGGUGGGCCGAACAAUGUGUAAUCUGCUUGCAACCUGAGCAGCAAAAGAAAGAGUAAGACCCUCUGCCUGCAAAGGAGUGCUUGUAACUUGAGUUGAUGCUUGAAUUUACACACCGACUUCAACCUGUUCUUGAGGCAGAGAAAGAUAGACUCCAACUCGUGUUGCUAUUGAUCCGUGUCCUAUGGGAGGUUUGGACGCACCGCAACGCCGUGGUUUUCAACGGAGCGGCGCCAUCUACACAGACGGUGCUACAGAAUAUAGGAAACGAGGCCCGGGNNNNNNNNNNGCGCGGAGGAAGGUCGGAGCUGGAGCGCAGAGGAGCCAAACGCGGCAAUGAAUGGCCGGAACGGGGAGCGGCGAGCAGCCAAACCAUCAGCGGCCGGAGCGAUGAGGAGAGCCGGAGAGGACGCCGGAGCAGGGCAAGGGGAGGUCGCCGGAGAAGAGCGCCACGACGAGCGGGCCGUUCCCAGGUCAGACCGACCCGCCAACCCCAGGAGCGGCGCCGGCGGCCACCCAACCUCCGCAAGGCAGCGCCUUGGGCCCGAGGCGGACGAGCUCUCGUCGGCCGGUUCUGCGGCCGCCGUCGCGAGCCGGAGGCAGAACCUCCACUACGGGAGGCUGAGCCAGCGGCCGCGCUGGUCGGCGCCGCGAGAACAGGGGCACGGGGAGGGAGAGGGAUGCCGGGGCGGUCGGCGACCGGGGAAGCUUCGUCGUCCUCUGCGAGGUCCGCCUAUAGGAACCUUGGCUGCACCGCAGGGCAAGGCGGGGGAGCGCAACGCGGGCGAGCCCCGGCCGGCUCCCCCGCGUCGCCAGAGCUCACGGUCGCCAUCUCUUUCCUUUACUCGCGUGAAUAUAUUCAUGAAUAGGAACUGCGAUCUCACAAUAAUAUUGUGGACUGUACUCUGGGUCAAGAAAGAAGAGACUAAACUUAGCUAGAAGAGACUAAACUCUGAACGCCUGAAUAAGAACUGCCGUGUGUUCACUUUGCUUCUCCCUCGUGAUGUCUAAUUGGACUGCAAAAAUGAAUUGAUGGUGAUAUUUAUUGCAGGUGAAAGCACAAGAGUAUCCCCACAUUCUCGUCACGGCCGGCUUAAACGGUAGGCGUUCGUCCCUUUGAUUACUUGUGAGCUUCUUCCGAGUAUGUAUGGUUUUGCAUCACAGCUCAUUUCCUCUGUAACAACAACCAGAUCCUUGCGUGAUGUACUCCGAACCUGCCAAGUUUGUGGCUAAGCUGAGGGAAUUGAAAAGGGAUGACAACCUUCUGCUAUUCAAGUGUGAAGUAGGUGCCGGACACAACUCAAAGUCUGGAAGGUAUAUAUAGUAAAGGAUAUGAAUCCUUCUCCAUCUGUGUUGUUUUUUGUUUUUUGACGUGUCAAAUAGAGUACCUUUGUAUCAAAAUAUAAGACGUUUUUGCAGUUCAGUUUAUGGUACGGAGGGUGUAAAGAGAAUGAACAAGAUCAAUGAACAAGAUCAUAUUUUUCCUUUUGGCCUAACUGUUGGUUACUUGCAGGUUCGAGAAAUUGCGGGAGGACGCCUUUUCUUACACGUUUCUCCUCAAGGCACUGGGCAUGACAAAUACGGCUUGAUUGUGCCGGGCUAUCCGGCGUAUGAGGUCUAGUUAUAGUCAGUUCAUUUCGGGAUGUAAAACUUGACUUAACUCCACUGAUUACUUUUGCCUGGCAGUGGCAGUCUCGUAUUCAGGCUGACUCCUAUGAUUUGUUACGGGCCAUUUGAGUUCUGACGAGCAGUCCAUUUUUAGUACUCCCUCCGAUCCAUAUUAUUUGUCGUUAAAAUUAAUGUAUCUAGUAAAUACGUCUAGAUACAUUCAUUUCAGCGACAAGUAAUAUGAAUUGGAGGAAUAGCUUGAAAAGCAGCCCCACAUGAACUCACGGCCACUGUGUGCCACUGUCCUACUCCUUUCGUUUCAUAUUGUAGUGAUGAUGGACUUUUUGAAAAGUCAAACUUUAUAAACUAUGACCAAAUUUUGUUCUUUUAGAGAAUAAACCGUGACCUAGUUUGUAGAGAGAGACCAAAACAUCAAUAAUGCUUGGUAGAUUAACAGAAGAUUUACGUGACCCGUGGAUGUAGCAUUGCUCUCAGAACAUUGUGCCGGAUUAUCUUCUCGAGGAGCUCUCUGUCNNNNNNNNNNUUUCUAUGAGCUGAAAGCAACAUAUUUUAGGUUUGACAAUUGAGCAAAGAACUUGUUGAGCUACAUUGUGUGCAAUUCCAUUAAUCUCCCCUGAGAUGUUUCACACCUGAGGUUGGAGGUUGGAAGAGUACUUGAAGAAAUCACCCAAAGAUUUCCUGAUGCUCCACGGGGUGGUAGCCUCAAUCAUCUUUCCGGUUGCUGCAACCAAAGCUAAGGAAAGGCAGUCUAAAAGAAAGGUGGGCCGAACAAUGUGUAAUCUGCUUGCAACCUGAGCAGCAAAAGAAAGAGUAAGACCCUCUGCCUGCAAAGGAGUGCUUGUAACUUGAGUUGAUGCUUGAAUUUACACACCGACUUCAACCUGUUCUUGAGGCAGAGAAAGAUAGACUCCAACUCGUGUUGCUAUUGAUCCGUGUCCUAUGGGAGGUUUGGACGCACCGCAACGCCGUGGUUUUCAACGGAGCGGCGCCAUCUACACAGACGGUGCUACAGAAUAUAGGAAACGAGGCCCGGGUAUGGAAGCAGGCAGGACUACUGCAAGGGGAAGUCGAGGAGUUCUUCGUUGGCCCUGCAUCGUGGGAGAGUAGUGAGUAGUCAACCAUAGCAUGUUAGUGAGGCGGUGUUGGCCUUCGAGCCACUUGUACAUAACCCUGUAACAUCAAAAGUGGAGGGAGUCUUCCCUAUUCCCUUUUAAUAUAUGAUACACACACUCGUGCGUAUUCGAGAAAAAAAAGCAGCGCAAGAAUACACUUCAGGUCCCUGAAUGAGUAGAUCAGAUUUAAGUGUUCG
rnacentral:lncRNA from 1 species